AAACAAAUUUUCAGCUGCUUUUCUCAAUGCCAGAUGAUUCUGUUGUUCACUCAAUCUCUCCGGGUGAUGCUGUAAACACAGUCACACAGAAGAAAAAGAUGUUUUCUGUCAUACACGCUGGGGGAACACAAAGUGGGUGUGUGUUCAUGAAGAUUUUUUAAAAAGGAGAUGCCAGCAAUAUAAACACGUUAUAUACGUCAUAGGAAAUUAAAUACAAGCAGCAGUACUAACCAGCUUUUUAGGAGAACCCCAGCUCCCUCAGCCAUUCCUCAUAAGACUUAUGUUCCAGACCCUGGAAGCAAUGGAAAAACAAAAGAGAUAAAACCUCUCCUACAGAAAUAAGUCAAAACAAAUUUAUGCCCAUGCAAGCCAUAGCCAAACCACAGAUAUUUUAGUAGGGUUUUUUUCCUGCCCCAAGUAAGGGUCAGA